rnacentral:rRNA from 1 species
AAUAGAUACCCAGGUAGUCCACGCCGUAAACGAUGUCGACUUGGAGGUUGUGCCCUUGAGGCGUGGCUUCCGGAGCUAACGCGUUAAGUCGACCGCCUGGGGAGUACGGCCGCAAGGUUAAAACUCAAAUGAAUUGACGGGGGCCCGCACAAGCGGUGGAGCAUGUGGUUUAAUUCGAUGCAACGCGAAGAACCUUACCUGGUCUUGACAUCCACAGAACUUUCCAGAGAUGGAUUGGUGCCUUCGGGAACUGUGAGACAGGUGCUGCAUGGCUGUCGUCAGCUCGUGUUGUGAAAUGUUGGGUUAAGUCCCGCAACGAGCGCAACCCUUAUCCUUUGUUGCCAGCGGUCCGGCCGGGAACUCAAAGGAGACUGCCAGUGAUAAACUGGAGGAAGGUGGGGAUGACGUCAAGUCAUCAUGGCCCUUACGACCAGGGCUACACACGUGCUACAAUGGCGCAUACAAAGAGAAGCGAACUCGCGAGAGCAAGCGGACCUCAUAAAGUGCGUCGUAGUCCGGA